rnacentral:lncRNA from 1 species
GGUUGCAAAGUUAUACUGUUAGGGCGCAACUGAGUAGUCUAAUGUUGUUCCGGUUUUGGUUCUUGUGAAGGUUGACAUCGAUUCGUUCCAAAUUUACACUUUCGGGGCAUAAUAGAAGAAUAAAAUUAGCUUUUACUCUUUGUUCGAUGGAAUGAGAAAAAGUACUCGUUGCAAACUUAUACUGUUAGGGCACAAAUGAGUAGUCUAUUUUUGUUCCGGUUUUGGUCCUUAUGAAGGUUGUCGUCUAUUCAUUCCAAAUUUACACUUUCGGGACAUAAUGGAAGAAUAUAAUUAGCUUUUACUCUUUGUUCGAUUGAAUGAGAAAAAGUACUUGUAACAUAUUGAAUUGGUAGUUGCGAUGUUACUUGACUAGAGGGUCAAAGUUGAGGAUUGAGCUAGGGUUGGAUUUCCCGAGGGCAGGAUUUGUGAAUGCGUGUGGAUGAGUUCAAAGAGAAAUAAGUGUUUCGGCGCCAAUUGGUCCGCGAACGAAAUGUAAGAGAGUAAAGAGAAUUUUCGGAAAUUCGCGGCUACUUGUUGAUUAAAAGAAUUAAAGUAAGAGUGUAGAUGAAUUGUAAGUACCUAGAAUCCCCAAUUGUGAAGUUUUGGUAAAUGCCAGAGGGUGUGUUUUCACAGGGUUUUGAAGAGUCAGUUGACGACAGUGGUAGUGAAAGUCAUGUAAUGGAAUUGGGGAUUUAUUUCUAAUUAGGCUCAAAUAAUGUCAAUGAAAGAAUUGCUUCAAGUUAUAAUUGGUAGCUUGGGAAUGGUCCCUUGGUGUAUUUUAGGUGUUUGGGUGUACAUCGAUGAGAGCAAACAGAACAUUUGAAUUUUUUGUAAGGACGAGGAUUGAGAAUUAGCCAGAAAUGGCACAGGUGUCGAAAUUUACGAUUUGGCAGAGAUGUCAGGACAUUUUAUAGGUAUGUUUUGACAAGUUUAGAUUUUUUCUGACACAUGUAGAUGAGAAAAUAGAUCUGGAGUUAUGUUUGUAAAGAUUACAGUUCGGGAGCAGUUCGCACACCAAUCUGUGACCAAACGGGGUCCCGAAACUGAAAUGUUAAUUUUCAGUGGAUUGUCAAUAAGUAAAAACGAACAUUCUGCCAUAAUUGGUUAAUCGAUUUUGGAGAGCCUACGAAGAGAUACAGUUGAUCCGAGUUGCGCGACGGAGUAUAAAUCGAUGGAUUUUUGGUAAUUGAUGGCUUAGUGGAUUUCAUAAACUGCAGCAGAGGGAGCCCUCAUCCUUUCCCCUUCUGGUUACAUAGUAGAGAGAGAGAGGAGAGGAGAAAAGAGGAGAAAGUGAGAAAAGAGAGGAAGAAGAAAGAAGAAGUUAAGAGAGAGAGAAGAAAAAGAGGUUUAGGAUUUUACUUCUCUCCCUCUCACCCCCUCUCUCUGCUGUACUGGUUGUCGCAGCGCAGCAGCCAGCAAGCAGAUCAGCGCCAGCAUCCAGCAAACUGUGCAGCCAAGUAGCAGCAGCUGCUGCAGCAGUAGAGCUCAGCAGUGUGCCAUCGCUUCAGCUAGCGCAGCCUCAGCAGGCAGCAGCCUCAGCAGAGCCAGCAGCUUUUCAAGCGUAGCGGGCAGCAGCAGUGGACAGCAGCAGAGUGUGGGUAAGCACAAGCCAGAAUAGCAUCGGCAGCAGCUGCAGCAGCAGAGUCAGCACCGCAGAGUCGCAGGAGCUGCUGAGCAGCAGUUAGCAGCGCAAGUUGUCAGGGCAGCAGCUACGAAGAGCAGUUGAGCAGCAGACUAGCUGCAGAGAGAAGCUGCGCGAGCAGUCGCCGGCAAAGCAGCCUGUGCCUGAAGGCAGCAGAAGCAAGAAGAAAAGAUAAAAGCAAAGGCAAGAAAGAAAAAGAAUAAAAGAAAAGAAAUGGAAGAAGAAGAAGCAAGAAAGAAAGAUUUGAAAUAGAGUAAAGAUAAAAUCGAAGUAAUUUAGACAUUUUUACUAACUUUUUGAGGUCUUGGGGCUAAUAAAGAGUGAUUAAUCUAUUGAAUUGUUGAAUUGCAAUUGAAAUAGUGUUUUUGAGAAACUGACCCGCUAUGCCUUUUUACAAUUUAAGAAGUUAAGUGAAAGUUGACGAGUAUAACCAAAUGAGGUAAAGAAGCGUUGGCGAAGUCGGUUCCCCCGGCAAUCAUCGACCUACGCAGAAGACUAUCGCAGAAGAGGUUUUCGGGACAUAGUUGAACGCUUCUAUAUAGCUAGAAUGCUAUUUGAAAUUCAAUGAGCGAGUGACUUAGUUUAAUCUCUCCUGUGUUUAUAUAAAUGAUGAUUUCAUUGCUUCGAAAGGUCUAAUUGACCUUUUCGACGGUCGCGACGUGCUGCCCCGUAUCGGUUAGAGGCCGUUCUAUUCUAUUUGCCCCGGCAGUCGAAAGAGUAGUUGUCGACGCAUUUCGAGGUGAGAUUUAUUGGUGGAACUACUCAGGUUGGUGUGCUAUCGAGUAUUUGAAUACAUUUUUUGUUAUGCUUUAUUGAGCUAUUUAUUUGAAUUAUGCAUUAUAGGGUGAUGGUAUUGGAUUAGCAAGUGAUAUUGAAGUGUGAAUUCUUAUUGUUGUAGGAACAUAUAACUUUAGGAUGUGGAAUAGGAACUUGAAUGUAUGAACGUGUAAAGGGGACCAAGGCAUAGUGAACUGGUACUUGUAUGAUAGAGAUUUGGUUGCAUCGAGAAUGCAAUUAUGAAACUUAUAUAAAGAAUAGUUAGAGUUAAUUGUGCACAUUGUUGUCGUUGAAUUUAAGGGGGAUCAGAUCUUUUAUGAUAGUCUGGUUUGUCGUUAGCUUGUGGUGGUGGUCGCUCCCACAGGAGUGAGAUCGGAAGUGUACUUGUUGUGUAAGCGUUACGUGGCGGGGGAUAACGUAUUGUCGCAGACGACGGUCUCGGGAGGCCGUUUAGGGCCGUGAGGAUUUCGUUGGUGAGUUAAUGUUACCAAAAGGGUUACGUGCAAUUGGUUGUAAUUUAUGGGUAGUAUGCCCCAGGACUACGUAAUUAGCUCAGUGUUAACAGGAGGGUUAACAAAAGAUUGUGGUAAGUUAGUGAAAGAAUACAUCGGAUAUUACGGUUUCCUAUAUUUGUCUUUGCGUUUGUGCAGGCAUGUAGUGUUAAUGGUCUAUAGUUGUUAUAUUGUUUAAUUUUGUUUGUCUCUAUGCCUUAGUAACUAGUGGUUGUGAGCGGCACCGAGAGGUCGGCAGCCGACCACUGGGAACUUUCUUGUAGUUCUCACACCACUAACCAUACAGGUUCCAGUGCGAGUAUUGUGGCCGAGGAUCGAGGCAAGAGCCAGCAGCCUAGCUAGUGGACACCCGAGUACUAGUGGUAUACCAUUUGGGUUCAUGUAUCAUCUAUUUCGAUGUACAGAGACAUGUAAAUGAAUGUAUUAUAAAGCAUGUAAAUAGCUAAAUGUUUCAGUUAUACAGUUCAGUUUGAAAGUUUUAAGUUACAGUGAAUUUCAUUAUACAGUUAGUUUACUAUCACGUGUGUUUGUUGCUUGCCUUCGUGCAAGCCAUGUAUAUUGAAAUGUGAUCCUGGGAAUUGUUUAAUUUCUUUAUACAAGUAUCCGUUGUUGUUGAGCCUUGGGCGAACAGAGGAGGUACUGUUCGUUCGGCGUCUGUGUACGGGCCCGGAUCGACCAAAUUGGCGAUAACGGGACGUGACAUACUCGUUGUAAAGUUAUACUGUUAGGGCGCAACUGAGUAGUCUAAUGUUGUUCAGGUUUUGGUUCUUGUAAAGGUUGACAACGAUUCGUUCCAAAUUUACACUCUUGAGGCAUAAUAGAACAAUAUAAUUAGGUUUUACUCUUUACUCGAUUGAAUGAAAAACAGUACUCGUUGCAAUGUUAUAUUGUUAGGUCGCAACUGAGUAGUCUAUUGUUGUUCCGGUUUUGGUACUUGUGAAGGCUGACAUCGAUUCGUUCCAAAUUUUCACUCUCAGGGCAUAAUAGAACAACAUAAUUAGGUUUUAUUCUUUGUUUGAUUGAAAGAGAAAAAAUACCCGCCGCAAAGUUAUGUUGUUAGGGCGCAACUGAGUAGUCUAAUGUUGUUCCGGUUUUGGUUCUUGUGAAGGUUGACAACGAUUCGUUCCAAAAUUACACUCUCGAGGCAUAAUAGAACAAUAUAAUUUGGUUUUAUACUUUGUUCGAUUGAAUGAGAAAAAGUACUCGUUGCAAAGUUAUACUGUAAGGGGGCAACUGAGUAGUCUAAUAUUUUUCCGGUUUUGGUUCUUGUGAUGGUUGACAUCGAUUCGUUCCAAAUUUACACUUUCGGGGCAUAAUAGAACAAUAUAAUUAGCUUUUACCCUUUGUUCGAUUGAAUGAGAAAAACUACUCGUUGCAAAGUUAUACUUUAAGGGCGCAACUGCGUAGUCUACUUUUGUUCUGGUUUUGGUUCUUUUGAAGGUUCAUAUCGAUUCUUUCCAAAUUUACACUCUCGGGAGAUAAUAGAACAAUAUAAUUAGCUUUUACUCGAACAAUAUAAUUAGCUUUUACUCGAACAAUAUAAUUAGCUUUUACUCUUUAUUCGAUUGAAUGUGAAAAAGUCCUCGUUGCAAAGUUAUACUGUAAGGUGGCAACUGAGUAGUCUAAUGUUGUUCCGGUUUUGGUUUUUGUGAAGGUUGACUUCGAUUCGUUCCAAAUUUACACUCUCGAGACAUAAUAGAACAAUAUAAUUAGAUUUUAAUCUUUGUUCGAUUGAAUGAGAAAAAAUACUUGUUACAACGUUAUACUGUUAGGGCGCAACUGAGUUAUCUAUUUUUGUUCCGGUUUUGGUUCUUAUGAAAGUUUACAUCGAUUCGUUCCAUAUUUACACUCUCGGGGCAUAAUAGAACAAUAUAAUUGGCUUUUACUCUUUUUUCGUUUGAAUGAGAAAAAGUGCUCGUUGCAAAGUUAUACUGUUAGGGCGCAACUGAGUAGUCUAUUUUUGUUCGAUUUUGAUUUUUGUGAAGAUUGACAUCAAUUCGUUCCAAAUUUACACUAUCGGGGUAUAAUAGAACAAUAUAAUUAGCUUUUAUACUUUGUUUGAUUGAAUAAGAAAAAGUACUCGUUGCAAAUUUAUACUCUUAGGGCGCAACUGAGUAGCUUAAUGUUGUUCCGGUUUGGGUUCUUGUGAACGUUGACAUCGAUUCAUUCCAAAUUUACUCUCUUGGGGCAUAAUAGGUGUGGACGCAGGGACCACGUUUAGCUGAGCGCAAAUGAGUCAACUAUUUCGUUCGGGUUUUGGUUCUCUAAGAAAGUAGCCCUCGAUGCGUCACACCAUUUACACUCCGGCAUAAUAGAACAUAUAAUGCUUGUUUACUCUUUUUCGUUUGAAUGAAAAAAUGCUCGGGUUGCAAAGUUAUACGUACGGCCACUGAGUAGUCAUUUGUGCGAUUGAUUAUUUGUGAAGUAUGAAUCAAUCGUUCCAUAUUUACACCUAUUGAGUAUAAUAGAGCAUUUAAUUAAAUUUUAUACUUUGUUUUGAUUGAGAUAAAAAAAGACUCGUUGCAAAAUUUAUCACUCUAGGGCGCACUAGUAAGCUAAUGUUGUUCCGGUUUGUGGUUCUUGGUGAACGUUGACAUCGAUUCAUUCCAAAAAUGACUCUGCUUGGGGCAUAAUAGAACAAUAUAAUACUUUCACCGCAUUGUUCGAUUUUUCAAUGAUAAAAGUACAUCGUUGCGAUAAGUUAACUGUAGCACAACUAAGCAAGUCUAAUUUUGUCGCGGUUUGGUAGGCUUGUGAAGGUUAACACGGAUGCUUUCCAACAUUUCACUCCAGGGAUAAAAAAAACAUAAUUAGCCUUUUACAACUUUUUCGAAUGAAUGAGAAAAGUACCCCUGCAAAUUAUGCUGUUAGGCGCAACUGAGUACCUAAUUUCUUUCGAUCGUUCUUAAAGGUGACAAAUUCGUCCAAUUUACCUCUCAGAGCAUCAUGAAAAUAUAAUAGUUUUUACACUGUUACAUUAAUGCGAAAAGUACUGACAUUGCCCACAAUAUACUGAAGGUGCAACGAGUAGUCAAUUAAUUCUUACGGUUAUGUCUUGGAAUUAACAUCGAUCGUCGCCAAAUGUACAACUUUUUCGGGCAUAACUGAAAUAAAGUCAGCCUUGUACUCUUUGGUCGUUGAAAUGAAAAAUACUCGUUGCAAUAACUGUUAGGUCCGCCCGCGAGCCUGAUUAGUCAAUGUGUUCCUGCUUUGUUUCUGCAAAGUGACGUGGGUUCGAUUCGUUCAAAUAUAAACUCUCGGUGCGCUAGACAAUAUCUAAUUACUUUUACUCUUUGUUCGAGUUGAACGAGAAAAAAGGAUUCGUCUGAAAAUUAUACUCUAGGCGCGAACUGAUUGCUUAAUGUUGUUGCUGUUUGGGCUUCUUGUGAACGUUGACUGUUUUUUCGAUUCAUAAAUUUUACUCUCCUUGCGCAUAAUAGUAAAUAUAACUAAUUACUUUACUUUCAUGUCGAUCUUGAAUGAGAGAAAGACUCGUUCAUCCAAUCUUAUCUGUAGAUUGCAAUCUGAUUAUCGUAAAAAUGAUUUCCCUGUUUGUUUCUUUUGAAAAAGUUGACGUAUUCUCCAAAUGUUACACUUCUCGGUGCAUAAGAACAAUAUAAUUAGCUUAUCUUUGUUCGAUUGACUGAGAAAAAAACUCCGUUGUAAAGGUUAAGCUGUUAUGGCGCAAGACGANNNNNNNNNNNNNNNNNNNNNNNNNAUAUAGAAACAAUAUAAUUAGCUUUUACUCAUUGUUCGAUUGAAGAGUAAAAGUACUCGUUGCAAAGUUAUACUGUUAGGGCACAACUAAGCAGUCUAUUGUAUGUUCCGGUUUUGUACUUGUGAAGGUUGAACAUGAUUGUUCCAAAUUUCACUCUCAGGGUAUAAUAGAAAAAUAUUAGGUUUUACUCUUGGUUCGAUUGAAUGAGAAAAAUUACCCGCUGCAAAGUUAUGCUCUUAGGGGCACAAUGAGUAGUCUUAAUGUUCUUCCGAUUUUGUUCUGUAAAGGUUGACACGAUUCGUUCCAAAUUUACACUCUCAGAGGCUAAUAGAACAAUAUAAUUAGGUUUUACACUUAUGUUCGAUUUAAUGAGAAAAAGUACUCGUUGCCAAAUUAUACGUGUAAGGGGCAACUGAGUAGUCUAAUAUUUUUUCGGUUUGGUUCUUGUGAAGGUGACAUCGAUUCGUGUUCCAAAUUUACACUUUCGGGGCAUAAUAGAAUAAUAUAAUUAGCUUUUACUCUUGGUCGAUUAGAAUGAGAAAAAGUACUCGUUGCAAAGUUUAUACUGUUAGGGCGCAAUGAUUAGUCUAAUGUUGUUCCUGCUUUGGUUCUUCUGAAAGUUGACAUCGAUUCGUUCCAAAUUUCAAACUCUCGGGGCGUAAUAGAACAAUAUAAUUACUUUUACUCUUUGUUACGAUGAACGAGAAAAGUACUCUUUGAAAAUUUAUACUCUUAGGCGCAACUGAGUUGCUUAAUAUUGUUCUGGUUUGGGUUCUUGUGAACGUUGACAUGCAUUCAUUCCAAAUUUACUCUCUUGGGCAUAAUAGAACAAUAAUUAGCUUUUACUUAUUGUUCGAUUGAAAUGAGAAAAAAGUAUCGUUGCAAAGUUAUACUGUUAGGGCGCAACUGAUUAGUCUAAUGUUGUUCUGUUUGGUUCUUUUGAAAGUUGACGUCGAUUCGUUCCAAAAUUUACACUCUCGGUGCAUAAUAGAAUAAUAUAAUUAGCUUUUACUCUUGUUCGAUUGACUGAGAAAAAGUACUCGUUGUAAAGUUAUAUGUUAGGCGCGCAACUGAGUAGUCUAAUGUUGUUCAUUUUGGUUCUUGUAAAGGUUGACAACGAUUCGUUCCAAUUUACACUCUUGAGGCAUAUAGAACAAUAUAAUUAGGUUUUACUCUUUAUUCGAUUGAAUGAGAAAAAGUACUCGUUGCAUAUGUUUAAUUUUAGGUCGCAACUGAGUUAGUCUAUUGUUGUUCCGGUUUUGGUACUUGUGAAGGCUGACAUCGAUUCGUUCCAAAUUUCCACUCUCAGGGCUAAUUGAACAACAUAAUUAGGUUUUACUCUUUGUUUUGAUUGAAUGAGAAAAAAUACCCGCUGCAAAGUUUCUGUUUAGGGCAACUGAGUAGUCUAAUGUUGUUCUAGUUUUGGUUCUUGUAAAGGUUGACAACGAUUCGUUCCAAAUUUACACUCUUGAGGCAUAAUAGAAUAAUAUAAUUAGGUUUUACUCUUUAUUCGAUUGAAUGAGAAAAAGUACUCGUUGCAAUGUUAUAUUGUUAGGUCGCAACUGAGUAGUCUAUUGUUGUUCCGGUUUUGGUACUUGUGAAGGUUGACAUCGAUUCGUUCCAAAUUUCCACUCUCAGGGCAUAAUUGAACAACAUAAUUAGGUUUUACUCUUUGUUUGAUUGAAUGAGAAAAAAUACCCGCUGCAAAGUUAUGCUGUUAGGGCGCAACUGAGUAGUCUAAUGUUGUUCCGGUUUUGGUUCUUGUGAAGGUUGACAAUGAUUCGUUCCAAAUUUACACU